CCCUUAGAUGUUCUGGGCUGCACGCGCGCUACAAUGUCAUGAAAACCGGGAUGCUUUAACGAAAUUUAUUGCGAAACCCCAACUCACGACGCGACUGGGAUUGACGUUUUUAAUUAUUCGUCAUGAACGAGGAAUUCCUAGUAAACGCGAAUCAUCAGUUCGUGUUGAUUAUGUCCCUGCCCUUUGUACACACCGCCCGUCGCUCCUACCGAUUGAGCGUUUUGGUGAGCACUCUGGAGUGCAGCAAUGCAUAAAUGAAUGCAAACCUGAGCGUUUAGAGGAAGGAUAAGUCGUAACA
rnacentral:rRNA from 1 species